GGAUAUCGUCAAUGAAUAUGAUG
rnacentral:snRNA from 1 species